rnacentral:rRNA from 1 species
CCUACGGGAGGCAGCAGUGAGGAAUAUUGGUCAAUGGGCUUACGCCUGAACCAGCCAAGUCGCGUGAGGGAAGACUGCCCUAUGGGUUGUAAACCUCUUUUGUCAGGGAGUAACGCCGGCUACGUGUAGCCGGACUGAGAGUACCUGAAGAAAAAGCAUCGGCUAACUCCGUGCCAGCAGCCGCGGUAAUACGGAGGAUGCGAGCGUUAUCCGGUUUGAUUGGGUUUAAAGGGUGCGUAGGCGGAAUGCCAAGUCAGCGGUAAAAUCGCGGGGCUCAACCUCGCUCCGCCGUUGAAACUGGCGUUCUUGAGUGGGCGAGAAGUAUGCGGAAUGCGUGGUGUAGCGGUGAAAUGCAUAGAUAUCACGAAGAACUCCGAUUGCGAAGGCAGCAUACCGGCGCCCAACUGACGCUGAAGCACGAAAGCGUGGGUAUCGAACAGGAUUAGAUACCCUAGUAGUC